rnacentral:rRNA from 3 species
GUGGUAAUGCCGGAUGCUCCAGUUGAUCGCAUGGUCUUCUGGGAAAGCUUUCGCGGUAUGGGAUGGGGUCGCGUCCUAUCAGCUUGACGGCGGGGUAACGGCCCACCGUGGCUUCGACGGGUAGCCGGCCUGAGAGGGCGACCGGCCACAUUGGGACUGAGAUACGGCCCAGACUCCUACGGGAGGCAGCAGUGGGGAAUAUUGCACAAUGGGCGCAAGCCUGAUGCAGCGACGCCGCGUGAGGGAUGGAGGCCUUCGGGUUGUAAACCUCUUUUAUCGGGGAGCAAGCGAGAGUGAGUUUACCCGUUGAAUAAGCACCGGCUAACUACGUGCCAGCAGCCGCGGUAAUACGUAGGGUGCAAGCGUUAUCCGGAAUUAUUGGGCGUAAAGGGCUCGUAGGCGGUUCGUCGCGUCCGGUGUGAAAGUCCAUCGCUUAACGGUGGAUCCGCGCCGGGUACGGGCGGGCUUGAGUGCGGUAGGGGAGACUGGAAUUCCCGGUGUAACGGUGGAAUGUGUAGAUA